AACAUGUUUUUAGCUUUUCUGACUGGUUUCGAUUGAACAUCGUAAUAAUUGUACCAUAGGUUACCAGAUGACAAGGUCAAUCUGUCUCUCAAGAUCAAAAUGUAAACUGGGAAGGUCGCUUUAUUUCUGAACCAGCAAGAAAAUUGAAAAUUAACUGGUUUAAAGGGCUGUUUACAGACUAGUAAUGAACAUGGCAACUCUACUGAAUCUUACAAGGAACUUUUCACAGACUGGAUUAAGUAGAUCUGGUUUCACUUUUAUGAAAUUAAUAGCUGAUGAAGAGGGAAGAACAUCAAAGAAACUUAUAUCACGGACAGCGAUAGUGUUAGCAAUGUGUGGCAUUAGUAUGUCUUUAUUCUGUACAAGACAGUUAUCAGAAACACCAGCAACUUGUUCAUUAGUUGGACGACAAAAAUAAUGUCUCUAGCAUAGUUUUAUAAUGACACUUUCCCAUGUUAUUUAAGCAUAGUUUUAUGAUGACACUUUGCCACGUUAUUUAAGCUUUUUUUUAACCAUAUCCCUCUUUAAUAGUCUAAUUUCGAAAUCUUAGUCCAUAUGUUUCGAGAAAGUUAUUUUCCCAGUAAGGUAACUAUGUUGGGAAGAACUUAUAAGUAUGAAAUACAUUUAGUACAAAGCAAAAUGAAAUGACAACUUGUUAACCGACAGAUAAUGACAUUUGUUCUAUUGUGUUUGUUCUCAUUAAAUUGACUAGAUCUGCUUUGUCUAUAUUGUAUACAUAGUUUAAUUAAUGUAAGCAUAAUUAAUUGCAUGUAUUCUAUGAAUACAGGUUUUGAAAUGAAAGUGUUUAUCACUUGUAUUGAUUGGUUACCAGCAAAUGUGCCUUCCCAGGUUUCAAUGUAACAUCUAUAAGCUCAAAACAAGAAGAAACAGUAUUUGUGGUGAUGCAUGAGGUGGUGAUUUCUGUUUUGUUUUUUCUUAUCCUCAAGUUAAGAAUGUCAGAUUCAAAAUUAUGAAUUCAUGGUCAGAUGAACAUUUCCAAUCUACAAGUAUGACCAUGUACAUGUACUUACUGCAUUGUUAGUUUUGUUCAAUAUUAGUGUAUUUAAGAAUUCAAGCAUUUUAUUUUAUAUUGAAGAAAGUGAUGUGUAAAAUUUUCCAACAAGAAAAGCUAUUGAUCUAUUUUAAAAUAUUGUAAUUGAAUAUUCGUGUGAUGAAAAGUUAUUAACAUGACUUGAUCUCUUUGUAAUGACAGAAAAUUACGAUUUUAAAAGUUAAAUGUUUUAUAUUUUGUCAUUGCAAGGUUUCUUUUUAUUCACUGAUCACCUACUUUAUGGUAGGACCAAAGCCAUAUUAUUUUAUUUAUUGCAUGUAAUUUAUUUUCUGAUUGUCUUUUUGUGUGUUGUUAAGUUGUUUUCAAAACAUGUUCACAACUAUAAAUAUCAGAAGGCAGGCGUAGAAAGUUUUCACGAUUAUUUUUAAUGAAGUCUUGUAAACAUUAAGAAUGGUUAUACAUGCAUAUUAUUUGAAAAUGUAUUCCGGAGUGUUAUCCUGUCCCAUGAAAUCCUUGCCAAUAAGUUUGAUAAGAUUACUUUUAGUUUAUGCAUUAUAUAUAAGAUAAGACAUAAUCGUCUUAUGAAGACUUGAUUUGUCCUGACUUGUAGACACAAUGUUAUGUGAACUUAUAUGUUAUUUUUAUAUUUUUAAGUUAAAUAAAAAGUUGUGAAAAUUUAA